rnacentral:lncRNA from 1 species
AAAAGGAAGGGGAUCAGCCACAAAAAAGGACCCCUAGACCUAGACCCUGAAGCAGCAGCCGUUUUAUCAUCUUCUACACACCCCUGACUUUCUUCUUCCAAACACCAAAAGAAAAAACCUUAGGAACACCCUCUCCAGCCACCUCACACCCUUCUGCCGCCACCCCCACAAACAACCUCAUUGCCUCACCGGCGAUUAGCUGGAAAUCCGGCAACCACUAACAACCACGACACACACGUGUACCAAAACAAAAAAAAUAGAAGCUUUGGAUAGAAAUUUUGGAGAGAAAAGACUAAAAAAAUCACGCAAAGAUUUAGUUCAUUUUUAUUCUCUGAAUUUCGAUUUUGAUCUGAAACAUGGAGUUUGAUUGAGUUACAGUGGUGUUCGGUUUCAAGGUUUUGAUUGCCAUUCGUCAUUCGAAUUCACGGUUCUAAUUUCAAUUGUUGCUGUCUCGUUUGCUCUCUAUUGCACAUUCAAAUAGCUUCCGAACAAGGGCUAAAUAAAAGUUCAACUAAGGUAACCUCAGGAAUGAGCCAUUCAUUCAAUCGAUAUGGAUGUACUUUAACUGUUCUUGCUGAAUGGAAACAAGAGUCUAUGACAAUGAAAAGUGCCCUCUUGUUUUAUUUUGAAAAAAAAAAUCAUUUCCUUUAUAUCUAUAUUGCUAAAUCAAUUUCCAUUUAUCUAAUUUUUUAUACAAUUGACUAGAGCACUUUUGUGGCAAGUUGUGAUUUUGUUGAUAACAACGUUUCUCCUUCCAUGCUUAAUUAGUUGGUUCUUAAGUAAAGUAGCUGGUUCUUAAGUAAUAAAAAAAAGCAGAUUUCUACUCGGUAGCAUCUUUAAGUGCAAAUCAGGGCUCCAUUUUCGUUGAGACAAUUUUUGGCCAUCACUUGCUUAUUUCCUUAUAAUUUAGAAUAGCUUAUUUUUGUGCUUCCUGUUUUUUCUAAUGGAGUUAGUAGAUUAUCCGUUGAUCAAUGGUAUAUCUCGGUUUAAUGGUACUGUGAUUUGUUAACAAUGAUCAUGCCUUAAAAUGGCAAGUCACAGUAUGAGUUUUGUCUGCUACCGUCGAGAUAACCAUCAUAAAGCAUGAUCAUGUUAAGGAACUGUUCUGUCAAAACCUGAGCCAAUUUUUUUUAAAAUCAUGUUGUAUACACUUUAUCAAUACCACGUUCUAUAGUACCUUCAAAACAAACUUGAUACUAAGUUGAAGGAUAAAUUCCAUAACUUUAGACAUGUCGAACAUCGUAGAAAUGCUUUUAGGCACGCAUUAAUUAAUUUAUCGUGAUUAUGUACAUGUUCACAUGACACGAUUACGAUUUCAGAAAUUGAAUAUUGUAGAAUGCUUCAGGCGUGUUUUAUAAUCUAUUAUUAUGAUUGUGUACACGUUCGCGUGACAUAAUUAUAAUUUUCAAAAUAAAUCAAGGUAUGCGUUCGCACAACUUCGGCCAAUUUCUUAAUAAAAUAAGGUGUUAUUAGUUGUGUACACGUACGUGUGACAUGAUUCUUGAUGCACCUAACAAAAUGAGUACACGUACGCAUGACUCCUUUCAGGUUAAUUUCUUAAAUAAAAGCGGUAAAGAGGGUAGAUGCACGUAGGUUAAAAAAAGUAAUUAGACAAUUUAAUAAGCUAGGUAUAUGAUUAAAGCGACCGUGCUAAAACUACAGAACUCGGGAAUGCCUAACACCUUCUCCUAGGUUAACAGAAUUCCUUACCCAGAUUUUUGUGUUUUGCGGACUGUAAAACAGAGUCAAAUAUCCUUGAUUUGGGAUUUUAAAUCGGUGACUUGGGACACCAUAAAUUAUCCCAAGUGAUGACUCUGAAUUUGAAUAAAUAAUCUCGUUUCGAUUAUUGUCACUUUAAUUGGAAAAAACUCCCCCAUACCUUUCUCGGGGUAGAAAAAAGGAGGUGUGACAGCUCUGGCGACUCUGCUGGGGAUAAGAACCCAGAACUUCUGGUUCAGGGUUCAAGAAUUCGAGCUUGUUUAGUGAUUUUUAUUUGGCUUUAUUUAUUAUUCAUAUUACUAUAUUUGUGGACCUAAUGUGCUAACUGCUGCUUAUUUACCAGUUUGAUAUUAUUUGAUUUGUGUUAAACUGUCUUCUUACGCUUCCCAUCUGAGUCUUCUAAAAAAUGGUGCACACGUUCGCGUGGCCCACUUUUCUGUUAUAAGUCAUACCAAAUAGAACAAUGCUGGUUCAGCAACAAGGGCGGGUAGACUUUCGUGCUUCCGGUACGUUGCCCCACCUCGACUCGAGUUGUCAGCUCAGGUAAGCCAAUUCUAGAACACAACCGCAGGUUUAAACCUAGAAUAACAUAACCUUAUGCCAGAUCCCUAGUAGGAACAUUUGUUUGCAUCACGUGCAUUUGACCUUGGGGACUCAACACAGGGGUUGGGUCCGUCUAGGACAGAUAUACGCCAAAAAAUAAAAGAUUAUCCUGAUGCAUCCUAUGUGCUACAUGUUGCAUUUCUUCAAGGAUAAAAGGGUCAUUUGGUAGACCAAUGAUGAUUGAGGGUAAAUGAGAAAUAAAAGAGGGUGAAGUGUACAAAUAAAGCAAGUAGGGCCCAGUUACGUUUUUCUUUCACAUUUUCUUUAAGAAAAAGACAAAAACAAAUUUGAAAAUUUGAAAAAUCCAAAAAGAUUUUGCACUUCCCCUUUAUUUUUCAAAAAAAAGACAAAAAAUAUAUUUACUUCAAAUUAGUGUUCUUUUUUUAAAUUCUCUCCCGUAUCCAAUCUGCCCGAACUAUGCAUACCCGAUUCUCGUCUUUCGGGGCGGGAUACAUAGGCAGCCCACAUAGGGUCCAGUCUUUCUAGUAAGUCUUAGGUUCUUGGCUUCGUGGGGUCGUAGCCAAAUCUUUCAUGUCUAGCCAAUUUUAGUCACAUCGGUCAUUUUGCAAAAUAUGGCUAUUUUCGCAAAAUGGUUUGUUUAAUUGUGUCUGGAGAGUCUUCAAUCCACAAUUAGGUGUCUCUUUACUUUAAGGUCCGUCCUUAUCGAAUUUGCAUGUCUAGACGCUUUUUAGCCACAUAGGCCGUUUUGCAAAAUAGGAUUACUUUCGCAAAAGUAGUUCAAUUAACCCAUGUUUUAGAGUCCUAAGUCCACAACAAAGUGUCCUCUUUGUUUAGGGUUCCAUUCUGUUGAAUUUGCAAUGCUUAGCCGUUUUCUGGCCACAUAGGCCAUUCCUACAAAAUGGGUCAUUUCGGUUAAGUCAUUUUUCCAUGUCUUUGAGGUAACCUUUGUCAAGUUUGCACUAAUAGCAACUUUUGGCCACAUAGGCCAUUUUGCAAAAAUAGCUUCAAUCAUGUCCUGCAUGUGUCCGAUAGGAAGUUUUAUUGUCUCACGUAGUGUUCUAAAUCCUUAACUCUAUUUGUUUUUAGUUUUCUUAUACAUGUGUGGAUCUACUUACUAGAGUUUGAGCAUGACAAACACCCCAAGACCAUCUGGUCAGGACCAUUGUAUCUAGGAGUUGCUUAAGGAGAUUUGUUUUAUGUUUUGAGUCUGUUUCUUUUUAUGUUGUCUUUUACUUUAUAGUAAUGUCCAGUAGUAAUGAUUCUUUUAGUUGGUGUCGGAGUUUGUCGUAGUAUAGUUGAGUUGAGUCUCUCGCUAUCAUAUUUUCUGUUUUGUAUUUGAAAAAUAAAAAAGUUGUAAUGAAUAAUCCAAAAAGUUUUUUUAGUUUAAUUUAUCCAUUACUUUUUAGAAUUACGCUUGAUCUGAUUCAUGAGGGACAUGAUACGUAGGCAACCUACAUAGAGUUUGAUUGAAUCAUUAUUAAAAAAACAAAAAAAAAGAGAAUGAAGUUGUGGGAUGUGAGAAAAUAAAGGAAAGAAAAGAGCGAUAAUGAAAAAGAAAAGAGGGGGAAUGAAAUGAAAACCAAGCGGUGCUAGAAAGGAAAAGGAAGAGGAAACGGGGCAAGAAGAGUGAAAUUGGGAUGAUGCCAUCUGACCUUCGUACCCUCGAAGUCAUUUUAGAACUGAUAAUAUUGACUAGGUGCAUUGCAUAUAAAGUGAGAUUAUCUUGUGUUAAAUGCCCUAACACUGACAUGAUGACUUCAUUUGGUUCUUCUUUGUUAUCUUCAUUAUAGCAGAAGGGUGGUUGGUUUGUGGUUCUUAAAGUGGUAAUUCUUCUCUACAACAUAAAGUCGAAAGGCAAUGGCAGAUGACGACAGAAUUGAGUUGGUUGAAACUGGUGACCAAAAGUAAUUGAUUGAACAGGACAAUGGGUUGGUUGAAGAGGUAAGGAUGUUAAGAUAACACAUAACGGACAUGUAUUAGUCUUGGAUGACUGGGAAGGCACCACCCCCGCCACCACCUAGCUUCCUAGAUGCUACCCUUACCCAAACUCCGGUCAUAGUGCCAGAUGAUUCCUCAUACUCUCCAGAUUCUCCCGCUUAUCAUAGCUUUCCCAACCAUCCUAGUAGCUCCAUCACUUGUCCUCCAACUAUCUUUCCCAAAGAUUGGCCUCCUGUCAUAUCCACUAUCCCCACAAUCACAACUUCUCAACAAUCUUCCCUUCAUAGAUCCAACAAUGAACACCCACUCAAAACUCAGGAUGCCCAAUAUUACCCCCCCCAGAGGUUGCCCACAAGGUUCUUGACUCAUACAAUUAGAGCCCUCGGAAUAAGCCUCAUGUUGAAAAUGAAAAGUUCACAGGAAAAGAAGGGCGAGAUGAGAUAUCCAGGAAGCCUUAAGGAGCAUGCAAGGGAUGGGAUAUCAGAUUAACAUGUAUUACAAUGACUUGUGUAUGUUCCCUGAUGUUCAUCUGCCCGCAGGAUCUAAAAUGCCAAAGUAUAACUUGUAUGAUGGGCGUGGAGAUCCAGUAGCCCAUCUGAGGGUUUAUUGCAAUGAAAUGAAAAGUGUUGGCGGGAAAGAUGAUUUGUUGAUGGCGUAUUUCAGUGAGAGCUUGAUUGGCACAGCCUUAGAAUGGUAUACUCAUCAAGAUGUCAAUAAGUGGCAUGCAUGGGAUGGCAUGGCUCAAGGUUUUGUUCGACACUUUCAGUAUAGUCUAGACAUUAUCCCAGACUGCUCCUCCUCAUCUAAGAUGGAAAAGAAACCCGAGGAAACUUUUAGGGAGUUUGGGAUCAAAUGAAGGGAACAAGAUGCUCGGGUCAGUCCCCCGAUUGGUGAAGAAGAAAUGUUGAGUUUUUCCUACAAGCCUAGGGGCCCACCAACUUCAGUCAUUUGAUCUCGACCUUGGGUAAACCUUUCAAUGAUGUGGUAAAAAUAGGGGAAGUGGUAGAAGAGGGAAUUAAGUCAGGCAAAAUCAUGAGUUAUUCUGCAUUGAAAGAUACUAUGAAAGACAUUCAGAACAUCUCAGUAAGUUUGGGUGGAAGAAAGAGAAAUAGAAAAGAUGUUGUUGAGCCCUGCCAACGACAGGAUCCAGUGGGCAUUCCUACUCAACGCUUUCAGCCUCAAUAUCGACCCCAUGGAUAUCCCUGUGCUCCAGAUAAUCCUCCCCAAUGCUACUUCUCUCCACAAAAUCCCCAAAGUCAUACCUUACCUUCCCAGUACACCAUAUACAAUGCACCACCAUAUGCUCCACAUCUACGGGACCCGCGAUGGCUUGCACCAUUUCCGCAAAUAUCCUAUCCGCCUCCUUAAGCAUAUCAACCGCCUACCCCAAAAGGUUUCAAUUGAGGCCAGAGUACAAAAUGAAAAGGCAACAGGAAAAAGAAAAGGCUUUCACUCCUAUUGGAGAAUCAUAUGCCAGUUUUCUCCAAAAGUUGAGGCAAUUGGACAUGUUGAAGCUGAUUCAGAUAAAAAUGUCGAACCCUCUUCCAACGAAUUUUGAUUAUUCUCAAAGGUGUGCAUAUUGCUCUAAUGCCGCGGGUCAUAACACAAAAAAAUGUUGGCAUAAAAAAAGAGCAGUUCAGAACUUUAUUGAUGCAGGUGACAUUAUCGUGCAAAAUUCAGAUGCAGUAGACACUAGCCAAAGUCCACCGCCUGUUCAUAAUGAGACGCAUAUGGUGGGUAUGAUUUGUGUUGAAAAGGAAUAUGAGAAUUCUUCUGAGAUCCUCAGAGGGCCACUUGCCGCAACUCUUUUAGCGCUCUUUCUCUCGGUUCCGAAAGUUGAUCUUAAGAACGAGCCGGCAAAAGGGACCCAAAAGCAAUUUGCUAAGGUCGAUGUGAUGGAGACUUGUGAAGGUCCUAGUACUGUUGAUGCGGAACUCAGUGGAUAAGAUGUUGAUCUUGGUUAUUGGAAAGCUGCUCCUUCCUUGGCUAGCCAGAGAGGAGUCUUGGUGGUUUAUUUUGUUGUCAUUUCUGUUGUCUGGGUUAUUUCAGGGUUGUAAUUCGGAUAUUGUCUUGUGAUUCAAACCCUUCUAUCCUUUUAUUUUUCCUAGUUCCUUUAGUCGUAGUAACUCAUUUAGUGUUAUCUAGGUUUGUUCCAGGGUUGUAACCCCAGUUUAUUUUCCUUGUUUUGUUGUUCAAACCCUUUCACCGUCUGUCUAGUGCAAUUUUCUAUUUUCUAUUAUUUCUAAUCAUUUUUUUUGUUUAGUUCUAUUUUCUUUGUAUAGUUAUUUUCAUGCUGGCUCUAGUGACAUGAUAUGCACGCAUAAUUCUAGGCUUGGUCUUAAAAGUUAGUUUAAUCAUGAAGGAAUGAAAUAAUUUUGAGGAUAAUAGGGACAUUUGAGGGAAUAAAUACAGAUUUGGACAUUUUAAGAUCAUUUGAAGCUCGAAUUGUGUGAAACUGGGGCAGAUAAUUUGGGAAGUUAAUAGGAUGACAAGAAGUUUUUACAAGAGAGUGCAUCCCAGACAAUUUGAAGCGAGCAUUUUUGAAUUCAAGUGCACCUCAAGUAACAAGAUAAAGCCAAGGGAGUUUGCUCCGAAUUGACGGAGGGUAUCUAUUGCGAAGAAGAAAUAACUCAACGAGAGUUUUGUACUUGACAAGGCACUAAAAAAAAGAAAAAAAAGGUGGAAGGCGUGUCAGUGAUAUCAAUGUCGGAGCUGCAAAAGAAAUGUUGUACUUGGCAUUUUCAGGGAUUGGGAGGCCCUCUUUCAGCUACCCAAACACUUUAUACCAUUCGGUACCCUUUUAAGCCUAUGUUAAUUUUCUUGACCUCCCCUCUUUUGGAAUCAAGUUAGAGUCAUUGCAUUAAAAAAAAAUAAUCAUGCCCUAUAAGGUUUGUUUUAGAAACUUCAUUAAAAAAAAACAAAAAAAAAGAGAAUAUAAAAACAAAAGAGGAAAAAGAAAAAGAAAAAAUAGCAACAAAAAGAAAGCAUCCUUGUGAACUACGUUCGACCUGAUUCUUGUCACCACAAGAUACGUAGGUAGCCUUACGGUUCGGUCGCACCAAAUAAAAUAUUUCAUAAUCCCACGAAGUCGAGAGUGGGACGUUUUUUCUAAGAAUCAAAUUCUCUUGUUUUAGAAAUUGGGCAAAGUUUUGAAAUGGAUUCCAAAAUUUAUAAUUAAAUUAACCUUGUUAUCUUAGUUAUUUUGAGCCUUUACGAUAUCCUUCCUUUCUAACCCUAUCCAAAAUCCACAUUACAGUCCAAAAAGGACCUCCAGAUAAUCUUUGAGAGUGUUGAGUUUAGACAUGCCAAGAGCAUAUGAUAUUUUUACCAUGGUUAAUGCCUUGUCAUCUGCGGAAUCAGAGAAAAUAAGAAGAAAAGAACAAAAUGAGAGAGUUUUAUUGGUGAAAACCUUCACAGGCACCAUAAGACGAUGGUAAGAAGAGAGAAAAAACAAAAUGAGAGAGAAUUGAUGGUGAAAACCCUUUGGGCACUACAAGUCGUGUAAGGAUCGUGAAUCAGAUAGGAUAAUCAGAGCAUUGAAGCCAGUUUCAUGGCGAAGAUGUGCAACAAGAGUUGAAUAUUAGACUUGCUUGACAGUUUAGGCCACUUAAUCGAAAGGUGCAUGUCAUGGUCAUUAGAGUUGGUAUCCACAUCUGAUAAGUUUCUACUUUGUAAUUUUCUUGUUAGGUAUCAUCUCUUUCCAUUGUCCCUUACUUUGUUCCUUUUGUUUUGUUUACUUUCUCUCCUUGAGUCUGUUUGGUUAGAACAAGUGAGAGAUGACUUCAAAAUUUGCCACUAGCUUUCCAAUUGCACGAAAUGGAAUCUGUCUAGCACAUCAAAGUGGCAUAAGUCAGGAAAGAACAGUAUGCGCACUGAGUUGGUAACGAUCAAUGUUCUUUGGGAUUCAUGUGAAAUGCAAAGGUUCGGUAAAUGUCAAUUGAUGAGCACAAUGCAACAGAUAAAGGGUAUUGGGUUUGAACGAAUCGAAGGUGUUUUCAUUGAUAAGGGAUGACAGAGAAAGUGGUUAGUCAAUAAACAAGCAAGGUAUUUCAAGUUGAUAUCAAAGUUAUCGUGGCAAGUGAAGGAGCAAUCGCCCUCAAAGUCAAGGCCACAAACCAACCACCAUGUUCAAACUCACAAGUUUUAUUUGUUUGAAACAGGGACGGAGACUAUGUCCAAAUCAAAGCUUGGAAGCUUGCAUUUUUCAGGUACAGUGCCCAAAUAUGGUUAGCAUAAAGGUUAUUUGAGAAGGUUUUACUUGCUAGGCAUUCCCCUAGUUGAGAUGACCAUUACCUCCUAGGCAUUCUCCCUAGUUAUAAAAGUUCUUAGUUUUCCUUAAGUUCAGGGGUCCCGCCUGGAGAAUAGGGUUAGUCAUUUUUAAUUUUCUUAAGUGGUUAGUCUUUAGUUUUCCUUGAGUUCAGAGGUCCCUCCUGGAGAAUAGGGUUAGUUGUUAGUUUCCUUACGAUUUCAAUAUUUAGAUUCUCUUAAAGUACAGGGAUCCCCUGGAGAAUUGGAUCAAUUGUUAGUUUCCUUAAGUUUUCAAUCUCUAGUUUUCUUGAGUUCAGGGUCCUGCCUGAAGAAUAUGGGCAAUUUUUAGUAUAGUUAAGCUUUGCUUAUAGUUUUCCUUAAGCUCUAUCUCACAGGAGACACACAUCCUAGUCGAGUUUUUAGUUUUACCCUUAUCAUUGCAUCAUUCAUCAAUAGCAUAGGUGAUUUACAGUUUCAAUAACAACUCACAAAUCUUCCUAGUGCAAACAGGGGCAAAAUUUUUUAUUUGUUUUGUUAUUUUUGAUUGCAGGCACCCACCUAGAGAACGAGGGGCAGCAUUUCAGAAAUCAAUUUUAGGUCCAUGUCAAGGAAGCACCAGGAGCCUACCUGAAGAACAGGGUCAGUGUUUGGGUUUCAAUUUCAAAUUCAAGAGGCAUCAGGAGAAUCCCGCCUGAAGAACAUGGUCAAAUUUCAGUUUUCAAGAUUCAAGUCAAAGAC